rfam:Brachypodium distachyon strain Bd21 chromosome 1, whole genome shotgun sequence.
GUUAUACUCCCUCCGUUUCAUAAUUCUUGUCUCAAAAUUCGCCCAAAAAUGGAUGUGUCUAUUCCUAAAAAGCGUCUAGAUACAUGUAAUAUUCCGACAAGAAUUAUGGAACGGAGGGAGUAUUAG